rnacentral:rRNA from 1 species
AUUGAACGCUGGCGGCAGGCUUAACACAUGCAAGUCGAGCGGUAACAUUUCUAGCUUGCUAGAAGAUGACGAGCGGCGGACGGGUGAGUAAUACUUAGGAAUCUACCUAGUAGUGGGGGAUAGCACGGGGAAACUCGUAUUAAUACCGCAUACGACCUACGGGAGAAAGGGGCGAACUUGUUGCUCUCGCUAUUAGAUGAGCCUAAGUCGGAUUAGCUAGAUGGUGGGGUAAAGGCCUACCAUGGCGACGAUCUGUAGCUGGUCUGAGAGGAUGAUCAGCCACACCGGAACUGAGACACGGUCCGGACUCCUACGGGAGGCAGCAGUGGGGAAUAUUGGACAAUGGGGGGAAACCCUGAUCCAGCCAUGCCGCGUGUGUGAAGAAGGCCUUUUGGUUGUAAAGCACUUUAAGCAGUGAAGAAGACUCCGUGGUUAAUACCCAUGGACGAUGACAUUAGCUGCAGAAUAAGCACCGGCUAAACUCUGUGCCAG